rnacentral:tRNA from 1 species
GGCUGUAGCUCAGUGGCAGAGCACUUGCUUUUCAUGUGGGAAGCACUGGGUUCAAUCCUCAACACCA